UGUACUCUAUGUCUAAAAGCUGGAAACUGUCUGAUUCAAAUUCUUUGAUUCAAGCUUUUGAUUCAUUUUUUCUUGGGUUGCUACUGUAUUCGAUUGGCUUUACCAUAUGAUUAAUUUGUUCUUUUACUCUGUUAGACAACAAGGUGUGGACUAUGUUUAUAGAAGUUGAGUCUCACUUUCGGCAUCUCUCUCUGCAUCAGGUCAGGCUGAAGAGAUACUUGGAAAUGAGGGAAACUCAUAUCAUGAUGGAGGGCCUUGGAGGAGAUUAUCUGCUUUGCCAGCGUUUUGGGUAAUAUGCAUGCAUUUUGACUCUCUAUGAGCAGCUCUUUUAUUUGUUCUGAUCUAUGUGUACGCCACAAGCUGAUCGAGGACCUUGGAUUUGUUCAAGGAUGUACUUGAAAGAAGAGGCUGUAAGGAAUCCAGCUUCUUGAAUGAGGUGGCAGAGGUGGUUAGAACCGUUAAGUAAUUAGCAGUUGCUCUUUUCAUUUGCACAUCUUCCAGCUCCAGCGACGAUGAUACCCCCAAUACUAAGCAUUAGGGGAAAGCCUUUGACGGUCUUGCUCCAAGUGAAUACAAGUGGAGAAGAAUGCAAACAUUGUUUGCUGCAGCCAAAUCAGAAGUUUCUGGUGCUGCUUCUAUGGCUCGGACGACGGCCACCCGCUUGAGGAGUUCUUUGAAUUAGCAGAUAGGAAGCCUGAUGAAGAAAUGGCAGUUGUAUAUGGUACAUGCUUUUUGUUUCCAUUGUUUUCUGUUGUUCAGCGCAUUUUUGAAUUGGGUUAUUGGAUUUUAUACUUUGUGAGGAUCAAUUGAAGGAAUUUAAAGUGCAAGGCAGAGGUUAAUUAGUUUUGCUUUUCACAUAGGGUGUAAAUGCAGACUUUUUGAUGGCUUGCAUUAGGAUACAAUUGUUCAUCAAGUUUCACAUAUUUACAUAUUUAAAAUUUUGUGCGAGAAUACCAAGUGCAAUGUAUUUUUAAGUUAGAUCUUUAAACCUACGAAAUUUGAUAAAAGGUAUCAAAGUUGAUUGUU